UGGAAGGGUAUUACUUCCGGCAUUUGGAAGGGGUGUUAACCUACCUGCACAAGAACGAUGCACAGGGCUGGACUCAAACCUUUCACCAAAGAGGUUAUAGGCCUGGAACGUGGCCACCCACCACAGCCUGCCCGUUAGGAAUUCAUCUCGGAUCACAACGGUGGGAUUACUUUCCACAGAACGCCUUUCUUCACCUAUAUGUUAUAUCCACCAUCUCAGGAGUUCCUCACAGUUAGGAUCAAGGCUCCGACGCUGGAAGGGAGGCUGAGACACUGCCUGUGGGGGUGUAGCCUGGACUGGAACCCAGGCCUCCUAACUCCCCAUUCAGUGCUGACAAGCUGCCUCCCUGCUCUCCAAGGAGUUUGUCUAGUUGAGGUGAUGACACGACACUUAAAGAUACAGGAAAAGUGAAGAAUACUUCUACACAUAUUUUAUCGGUUGAUCUUCAGAACAACCCUUCAAGAUAUUAUCUCCAUGUUAGAGAUGAAGAAACACAACUGGAAGUUACUGAAGGCCAGUGAACAAAGACAGGAAAGGUGGGAAUGCAGAAGGCCAGUGGGGAGCCCUCUGCAGCUAAAUCUCCAGUCUACCGAGCACUGUGCCUGCAACAGAGAAUAUGGUCCGGGUCCUGCCCAUUCAAGGACUGCCCAGCUCCUGCUUAAUGAAAACUUUCCUGACUCCACAUUACCCAAGUGAACAUUAUCUUUUUCUCUCUCCGUAGAAUUUCUAUCUCAUUUUCUGAGCACACACCAUGUUCUGCUAUGUACACCAGUAAUUUGUGUCCCUGUCUUCACCCUUUAAUCAGGGCAUGAGCCUCAUUCCCCUGUGUGUUUCUUCGUGCCUUGUACCCAGAGGUAUCCAGCAAACACUUGUCAAAUGAACAAAUGUUGUGAUUGGGAGUUCAUACUUUGUCCCUAAAUAUAUAAAUGCUUCACACAUCCCUGUUAAAUUUCUUGAGCAAAUCCUUUCUAACUUCUCUGUGGUGUGGGGCUCAGUCCCUGCUCUGUCUUGCACAGUUUCUUGUAUGGAGCACCCACCAGGAACUGUAUAUAUCUCCUUGAUUUUUCACAGCAGUCCUGUGAGCUAGGCAUGGUCUCUGUUUUACAAAUGAGGAAAUGGAUGGUCAGAGAGCCAGGAUCCAGACCCCAGAUCACAUAGCAGGUAGCGGAGCUGGGAUUGGUUCAAAAUGACAUCUUCCUGACUCCCGUGACUGUGCGGCUUCUGUCUGUUGCUUUUCUAAAGUGAAACAUGUGCCCCUGCGGGAGCCCAGGUGUGUUGGGCAGAGCUGGGGGCCAUCUGCAGGGGAUCGGACAGGCUGCGGGGAGCCCCUUUAAGUUCUGGAGCAGACUAGAAAAUAGCUAAGAGUGAUGGUUAGGGGACAGAAUGGAACAGAAGUGACCAAGACAGAAGGAAACUGUGGGAAGGGAGGGCUAUUCUUUGUGUGUGAAGCUCUCUUUCUCCUGAUUCCCUUUUGAAUAACUUUUAUCUCCGGUAAGUCUUCGCUCGAAUGCCACCUUCUCAAAGAGGCACCGCCCCCCACUCCCUUACCCUGUUUUGUAUUCCAUUUCUCUUCUAUGGCCGUUAUCAUCUUUUACUGAUAACUUGCACGAUCUCAUUCCUGAGCCUGAUCUCCGUAAGCUUCCCAAGAAGCUUGUCCUAAGCCUCCUGCUCCCCCACAUUUACGAAACCCCCAUAACAAAUAAGAGGACAAUGUGAAGAGCCUAUAGAAUAAAUGACUCUCAGACGGAAUCAAAUUAGUGUUUAUGUGGGGUUUUGUGUCCUUCUCCCCAACAGUUCUGCCAAGGGAGAGAGGAAAGUUAAAUUUUAAUCAUUAUUUUUCGUGACCGUCACAGGUGGGAGGAACUCAGGAGAGACGAGAGAGAAAGAGACCAAAAAUGAGCUGGGGCUAAGGUGGCCUCGGAGCGGAGACAGCAGGACUGUGGGGCGAGGAACAGCCUGUCCCACACCUCCGCAGGGGGCUGAUCCUCGCAGACCCCCAGAGCCCCGGCCCGCCCCUCUCCCCAUUCCCAUCAUCGCAGGCUCCCGAGAAGAAUGCAGGUCAGGAGCAUAAGCGACCUUUCACACCUCAGACAAACUAAGUUUGUUUUCUCCUUUUCUGUCCAGCCCGCAGCAGGAGGGAGGGGGAAAUGGGAUGGGCCUUGUCCAACUUUCUUUGGCAACAAUACCCCAGAGGAGCUGAGGUGGAGGGAGUAAAGGAUCUAUUUAUUUUGGCUCAGGAAGGACAAUGUAAGCAGAUGGUCUUUGAUGGGAUUAGCGGCGUAAUCUCUAAGACCCUGGUAAAUUGGAAAAUGAUCCAUUAUAUUCCACAAACCUUUGGCGGCUUCAGCUUCUGGGGAAGGAGGGGCAGGGCUGGGGGGGGCACCUUGUUAGAAAGGAUCCCCCUCUGGGAGCAGGCAAAUCCCCGCAGCACAGAGAAUUUGGGAAGAAGUUCGUUAGCUGUGUGAUGCAAGCCUCUCUCUUCUGGAGAGAACACAAGAAUCAGAAUUCUCCUAUGCCUUCUCAGAGCCUCUUUUUUCUCCUCCCCCUCCCUCAGCUGGGUGUGCUGGAGUGUCUUCACCACCACCCCUUGCCCCCAUCCCUUUCCAUCCCCAGGGCGGCCAGGGGACUCUUCUUUGAGAACGAACUGUAUUGAGCCACCUGCCUUGGAAGGUCAGAAAAUUCUUCUUCGACUCCCAAUUAUAGUCCUGCACUGUAAUCUCAGUCCACUUCCCACUCCAACCCUGCAGCUCAG